GUGGGGAAUUUUGGACAAUGGGCGCAAGCCUGAUCCAGCAAUGCCGCGUGCAGGAUGAAGGCCUUCGGGUUGUAAACUGCUUUUGUACGGAACGAAAAGCCCUGGGUUAAUACCCUGGGGUCAUGACGGUACCGUAAGAAUAAGCACCGGCUAACUACGUGCCAGCAGCCGCGGUAAUACGUAGGGUGCGAGCGUUAAUCGGAAUUACUGGGCGUAAAGCGUGCGCAGGCGGUUUUGUAAGACAGAGGUGAAAUCCCCGGGCUCAACCUGGGAACUGCCUUUGUGACUGCAAGGCUAGAGUACGGCAGAGGGGGAUGGAAUUCCGCGUGUAGCAGUGAAAUGCGUAGAUAUGCGGAGGAACACCGAUGGCGAAGGCAAUCCCCUGGGCCUGUACUGACGCUCAUGCACGAAAGCGUGGGGAGCAAACAGGAUUAGAUACCCUGGUAGUCC
rnacentral:rRNA from 1 species